AGAUAUAUUAAAGGGAAAACUUUAAAAAACCCUCCUGUGGUUUCGUAUUUUCUCACUUUGCCCUUCUGUGAUUUAAAGUGUAUCAAUUUGUCUCCCUGUAGUUUUAUUUUUAUCUUUUCGGUAGCUUUUUCUUUAAUAUUUUGUUAAAUUAUAUACAAAAAAUUUCAGAUACCCAUCUAGAUUUAUCAAAUAUUCACUUUAGUACUCUUUAAUUUUAACUUUAUCACUGAUUUAAGGAAAAAAAAUAAUAAAAUUAAUAAAAAAAAGAAAAAAAUAAAACCACAAGUAGAUAAAUUGAUACAUUUUAAACUACAGGGGGGUGAAGUGAGAAACUAUGAAAUUACAUGAGGGUUUUUGAAGUUUUCCCUAUAUUAAAAUG
rnacentral:lncRNA from 1 species